AACGAACGCUGGCGGCAUGCCUAACACAUGCGAGUCGAACGAGACCUUCGGGUCUAGUGGCGCACGGGUGCGUAACGCGUGGGAACCUGCCCUUAGGUUCGGAAUAACUCCCCGAAAGGGGUGCUAAUACCGGAUAAUGUCUUCGGACCAAAGAUUUAUCGCCUUUGGAUGGGCCCGCGUUGGAUUAGCUAGUUGGUAGGGUAAAAGCCUACCAAGGCGACGAUCCAUAGCUGGUCUGAGAGGAUGAUCAGCCACACUGGGACUGAGACACGGCCCAGACUCCUACGGGAGGCAGCAGUGGGGAAUAUUGGACAAUGGGCGAAAGCCUGAUCCAGCAAUGCCGCGUGAGUGAUGAAGGCCUUAGGGUUGUAAAGCUCUUUUACCCGGGACGAUAAUGACAGUACCGGGAGAAUAAGCUCCGGCUAACUCCGUG
rnacentral:rRNA from 1 species